CAACAAAAUCAUAUCAGGUUUACCAGACUUCCCAAGAUACAUGGUCCCAUAUGCCUUCAGGAGAUCUCUAUAGAAAUGAUUUUGAUGACUUGCCACCUUGAAAAGAGCUCUUCUGGGACUAAACUGACAUCCUUAAGUGACAAGAAUGAGAUGUAGUGUUCAGUCACAUUAAAAAACACAUCAUCCCAUAUAAAGGAAGCUUUGGAUAUAGGGACAUCAAACUGGUCUUAAGUGUAAUGAAAAGCUUCUUGUGCCACAAAUAUCAGUGUAGUGAUAUCUGCCAGUAAGAAAGUAUAAAUCAGCAUAACCAUCGAAUGCAGCAAGAAGAAUAUUGAGCCAGGAAAGAAACCAUUUAAAAGAAAAAUGAAUUACUCAUUCACUUUCUAGUGGAUACAGAAAAAACUGCAGAAGAGUCAGAGGAUAUCAUGGCAGUGUAAUACGUUGAUAUGUUAAACUUGUGGAAAAGCCUUCAAUUCUGUUUUAACAUAUGAGAAGGAGGGGUGACUGACUUCAUGACUAGCAUUAAGAAAAUAUCACAUGUUGAUAAACUCUUUCUGCCUUGAUGAUUUUAUACACACAGGAGAUAAAAAAUGAGGCACAUGCUUAGAUAUAUUGGCAAUGAGAUGGGACUGUGGCAUUGUCACAGGGGUACACAAAUACUGAGAGUGGCUGAUAGAGGAAUGGUCCCCAUCGGUUGUGACCUCAGGUAAGACCAGGAGGCCUGGGUUUGGCAAACCCUGGGCAAUUGGAAUGAAGGGCUCCUAAGAUUCCAUGACACGCCCAGAUUCUAAUUCUGUUAUUGCAACAGCAGGCCGUUACCUGGGACUCUGGCCACUAUCUCCCACACUCUUGUCAGAGUCUGAGCUACAGGCUGCACCUUCAGCUCCCAGCUGAAGCAUUGCGAACCUUGUUUUUGCGGUUAAGGACCCUAAAGUGCUGUGAGGAUCAAAUUUUUCUCAACAUCCCUGGCUGUACCUGUGGUGUCUCAAAUGUCAGCAUGGCGACAUCUGGCAGGACUUGUUCCACAAAAACCACAGAGGUGAACUUUCCACAUACCAUCGACAAUUCCUACUGCCAGCAGGAAGAGACCAAACCGAAUUUCGGAGCCAGCAAAAAUAGACUUCUUCUGAGCCAGGUGGCCUACUUCCAGAACUAUCAGCUGAAGACAUACAGUAAGUUC